AGAAUAAGAUACCAACAAAGCAUUAAAAAUAACUCAGUGUGAGAAAAUUUAGGCAUGCCAACUUAGAUAUGGAUUUAGGCCGUGAUUUAGGUUGAAUCGGAGGGAAAAUAGUUAGCUUCAGAAUUUUGACUUCAGUCUUAUAAAUUCAAUUUCAUAAGGAACAGUUUCUUACAAACAAUUUCUUACUAAACCUUAAAAAUUUUUAAAUUCCACGCCUUAUUUAAAAUAGUCCACUAUGUGAAAACGAAAUGGCAAUGAAAGAGCUGUGUUUAUUUAUUAAUAUUGAAAUGUGGGGCGCCGACGAUUUGAGUUUAAAGCAUUGCAUUUAGAUACGUAUUAGUUUUAAAUUUUAUUUACGUGGGCCAUAUUAUUUAUUGUCAGAUCAUGAAAUGGAAAAUUUUCUGGACCUAGAAGACACUUUUUGUUGAACUGCAACAUACAAAGCAUAUAGAGAACUUAGACUAUUUGUGUGAAGCAAAACAGUUUCUAUAAAAACUGGAACCAUGAGUGGUUCCUUUGAUUGGAGAUUAUAUUUGAAGAAGCCUAACUUUUCAGCUGCACCAGUCUCGUGCUUUAAUCAUGUUGCUCUCUCAAGUUGUUGGCAUAAGAUUACUCUUGGCGUUUUUGUUGAAAUGAGGAGUCCUGAUUGUAAAACUUGCUGUACGGCAGACCCUUGUCGUUACUGGAUUGCUUCUGUGAUAAAUGUUGCUGGAUACAUGGGACUACUGCGAUUUGAAGGCUUUGAUGACGGAAGUGAAGACAGAUGGAUCAACUUAUGUACAGAACCUCAUAUUCAUCCUAUAGGAUGGUGUAUAGAUAAUGAGAAACAUUUAGUUCCCCCAAAAAGCAUUGAAGGAAAGUUUGACUGCUGGAAAAAAUAUUUAGUGAAGAAAAUAUCUGGAGCUCAAACCAUCCCACCUGUGCUUGCUUUCAAGGCAGCAGAACAUACUCAUAAUACCAUUAAGAAAGGAAUGAAACUUGAAGUUGUUGAUAAAAACUUGAUUUCUGUUGUACGUUCUGCUGUAGUGAGUGAUGUUGUUGGUGGGAGAUUACAUGUGAAAUAUGUGGAAUCAGAAUAUGAAGAUGAAGGUUUCUGGUGUCAUGAACGUUCUCCCUUGAUUCAUCCUGUAGGUUGGGCUCAGAUUAUCGGUCAUGCCUUGAAGAGUCGUCCAGAUAUCAUUGUAAUGAAUGGAAGGUUAUGAAAGUAAAGAAUGAAAAUAUGCUCGGCAGUCAUUGAAGAAAACUCUGUAUCGGACAUUUGAAUCAAAUGAUGCUACUUGGGAUAUGUUUCUACCUGUGUAUAAUCCAGUACGGAAUUCUAAGUUCAAAG
rnacentral:misc_RNA from 1 species